UAGGGAAUCUUCCACAAUGGACGCAAGUCUGAUGGAGCAACGCCGCGUGAGUGAAGAAGGUUUUCGGAUCGUAAAGCUCUGUUGUUGGUGAAGAAGGAUAGAGGCAGUAACUGGUCUUUAUUUGACGGUAAUCAACCAGAAAGUCACGGCUAACUACGUGCCAGCAGCCGCGGUAAUACGUAGGUGGCAAGCGUUGUCCGGAUUUAUUGGGCGUAAAGCGAGCGCAGGCGGAAUGAUAAGUCUGAUGUGAAAGCCCACGGCUCAACCGUGGAACUGCAUCGGAAACUGUCAUUCUUGAGUGCAGAAGAGGAGAGUGGAAUUCCAUGUGUAGCGGUGGAAUGCGUAGAUAUAUAGAAGGACACCCGUUGGGAAGGGGGCUCUCUGGUCUGCAACUGACGCUGAGGCUCGAAAGCAUGGGUAGCUAACAGG
rnacentral:rRNA from 1 species